CGCCCGUCGCUCCUACCGAUUGGGUGUGCUGGUGAAGUGUUCGGAUUGGCGGUCGCACCGUGGUUCGCCACGCACGACAGCCGAGAAGUUCAUUAAACCCUCCCACCUAGAGGAAGGAGAAGUCGUAACAAGGUUUCC
rnacentral:rRNA from 1 species